CUAUUUUACCUUACUUCUCUAGUUUAUUUGACUACAGAAGUCAUUAUUUCCCCUGAGAAGACUGCUUACAGGAAGUCUUGUUUUAUGCAAUAUGCUUUGGGAAAUGCCAGAAUAUACCUUAAUAAGACCAAACCAAAUCUUUCAAGGUGGGCCAUAGAAGAAGUUUCUUUCUCUCUUCUCUUCAUUUGUUUUAUUUUAAAGAUUUCCCAGUAAUUGUUGCUGUUGCCCCAUUCUGGCCUUAGGGAAUGCUGCCUUCCAUUGUUGGACCCCAGACCAGUGAGAAUUUGUUAGGACAUUUAAAGUAAAAAUUUGACAAAAGACUAAGGGAAAUUAAGAAGGAAAUGAAGAGUGAGUCAAAACCAUGGAGUGAUCUGUCUCACAAAUAGAAUUCACUUAUCUUCCUCCUGAGGUACUUCCUGCUGAAGUAAGAACUUGCUAGCAGUCCUGGGUAUAACCUCAGCAAACCUGAACUCUCGAAGACACAAGUUCAGAGAACCAAACUCAAGGACAGAGAUGUUUCCUGCAACACCAGCUAGUGUCUCUGACUUAGGUCAUCUUCAUGGCUAAUUCCUGGAAAUCCCAUCCCCUUAAGAGACUGGGGGAUUCUGAGGCUCAGCAUAACACCCUCAAGGUCCAUCUGGCCAGAUUGGGUCUUGAAACAUCAGGGAAAUGGGGACAUGGAUGGAAGAUUCUACUACUCAGAUUCUAAAGGGGAAGUUAUGCAUCUUGCUUUGCCAGCAGGUGCUUGUGCAAAGGUCCAGGAAGGCACCACCAAGCCCAAGAAUUCUGGUUCCUCUUCCUA